rnacentral:snRNA from 1 species
AUCUUUGCGCUUGGGGCAAAGACGCAACUAGUGAGGUGAUAACCGAGGCGCUUCAAAUGCUGGUUGAAAACUAUUUACAAAUCCCCUCUUUGGCCUGGGUUCAGCCCAGCGAAAUAUUUGUUUGAAGCUCUAUUUU